rnacentral:tRNA from 1 species
ACACCGUUGGUGAAGUGGUUAUCAUGCUUGCCUUCCAUCGUCCUUGUAAAAGAUGUCUGUUAGCAAGCGGCUCGGGUUCGAUUCCCGAACGGUGUA